rnacentral:miRNA from 1 species
CUUGAUGGGGAGAAGGAGAGG